UGGGAAAGCCCUGUCAUCUUUCAUCACCCGUCAUGAACCAGGAAGAGAAUACUAACUUCAAAUUUUUUAUUUUUGGGCCACCCCCAUCCCAUAAGCAAAAAUGGUGUCCUUCGAUGUCUUACGAUUAACAAUGUCCCAAUUACUGCACCCCAUGAUAUAGUUUUCCACCGUCUGGCUUGUUGAAAUAUUUUUGGUUGGGGAAAUAAAGGGCAAAACCUCAGAGACUGAAGGGGAAGCACAGCGCCAACUACGGCAACGGAGGAAAACAGCGCGGCCUGCAAACACCAAACCAAAACCCUCCUUUGCUCAGCGCCGUAUCGCGCCGGAGACUUCGCAGCCCGCCUGCCUCCUCAGACUUCCUGUGGCCGAGUGAGCGAGUCCCCUGUGGGAACCGGAGUGGGAGGGAGGUGGGCCGAGGGAGCGGGAACACAGAGGAAACAGUGAGCUGCAGGAAUGUUUACUUGAAGGCCAAGUCCAACCUCCCCCCCACCCCUUCACGUCUUUAGGACUCCAUUCAAGCUUUGGCCUUUUCAACUGACCAUUGUAUGAUAUGGCUUUGAGGUGCUUUAAUGAAGCGGCCUUUCAAAGCAAAUCUGCAGGCUAAACAAGACUCUAAUAGCCGCCCGGGCCAGAGCAGACAUGCUUUAUUUUUUAAUUAGAGCCGCUCUGCGAUUCCAGGGGUGGGCCUCACGUCACAAACGUAUUGAUUCGCCGGCAUAGUUGAGGAAUCAUCUUUUUGUUCAUAUUUUGCCAAGUGGAGCAUUGCCAAAGAUAGCGCGAAGCUUCUCGACCGUGGACGUAGCAUCGCUAGAAUCGCUAGCGUCACGAGAAAUGUCAACUUUUUCCAGUUUUAUGUGAAAUUGUUUGAAAACACUUUUUUAAAAAAUGAUAAAUAAGUCGAUCAAUCAAUCUGUGAAGGCGCUCCCCUGUAUGGAGAUGGUGGUGUCCAGUGCAUGCUGUAGAUUGUCCAUAACAGACAGAAGCUUGUUCAGUGUUCUCCUUUCUGCACAGAUUAUCCAUCAUGACCUUUGUAGCCCUUAAUGGCUCUUUAGCUGGAUCUCCUGACAUCGCUUCCUCGACAUGAACAUGGUUUUACAGUAAACUUCAGCUGGGAGUGGCAUUCAACAGCAGAAGAAUUGUUUGCAAUCUGCCAAACGUUGACUUGCUGUGAAGUCAGUUGAAUUGAGUACAUCACUCGUACUGUAUCUUGAAAAAUUUGGACGUUGAUUGCAACUUUGCUCAGUUUUUGCGCUGAAGGUCGGCCCUCUGAUGACGCAUCUCCGGGCUGGCGCUGGGACGGCGCCGAUGCCCACAGAGAUGUCCAUUCGUUUGGAGAGUCCCACACAGCAGCUGUGACCGAACCACGCAGCCAGCCGGCCAGUCCCCCAACCAACCGCCCACCCCCGUCUUCUAUGCUCUUUUGUUCCCGCUGACCCACGCAGGACGCCAUCACGGUGACAUCCACACCCACCCAUGCGCAGCUUAUCCCACCACACACACGCACGCACGCACACACACACACCCACACAUACAUCCAUAUCCCAAACCUCAUUAAACUCUUAACCCCAUCACCACCUUUAAAUAGCCUCCACCCCCACUCCCCCUUCCUCAUAAUCUUGCUCAUAAACCAUCAGGACUUCAUUUAUCUUAAUGGAGAGGGGGUGUAUGUGUGAUAUAGUAUGAUAGACAUUUCUUACACCCGCAAUGAUAUCAACAAAAAUGAACACUGGGCAUCCCCCCAGGUGUGUGGAUAAAAGUUGCAUCCAAUAAGAAAAAAAUAUAUAAAUGUAUAUUUUUGGAAUGGCAAUGAUAUAUAUAUAUAUAUAAAAUUACCUUUAUUAGAGCAAAGGUGUCCUGGCGAAUAAUUCUAAAAAUAAAACCUCGGAGGAACUGUUAUAAAAAGCCCAAUGUCUAGCCAUCUAUUUUCUAUACCGUUUGUCCUCAUUAGGGUUCUGCUUAUGAGCUGAGGCCAAUUUCGGUAGAUUUGGCAACAUAAGCCGGCGCACUCUGGACUAGGCCCAAGUCAAUCCCAGGACUCAGAAACUGUCCUCAUUGGUCAAUCAACCUAUACGGAUAUAUUUUAUGUAGUCAUCACAUUUCGUAUAUUUGCUGUAAUGUCUUUUGGAAUGUGGGAGGAAGUACACCUAAGCACAGCGAGAACGUGGGAACUCCACACAGCAAGACUGGGAUUUGAAUCCUGACCAUCAAAACUAUGAGACAGACCACUAUUCCACCGUGCUACCCACCUAAAAAAAUAUAAACAAUGUAGGCCACAUAUCGCCGGACAGCCAUUCACAACUGAGGGAAAAUAUUCCAACUGUAGGUUGAACAACGCGUCUUUUGGGGAUCUGGGACGAAGCUGGACUACCUGGAGAAAACCCACACAAGUGCCGGGAGAGCAUCGCAAAUCCACACAGGAGCGAUUCAAACCCGGAACCUCAGAACUGCGAGGCAGAUGCGCUCGGCGCGACUGUACACCACAACUACAAAUGCUCAUUCUGUAUCCAGCCAUCCAUCCAUCUUCACUGUCUUUAUCCGCUCUUGUGGAUUCCACCCUGGACUGGUCGGAUGCGGUUGCAGGGCGCAGAUGAGCAUUCUCUCUCAGGGUCACAGUGUACCGCUACGAUAUAGAAUCAUCAGUGACCUCAUUUUCGAUGUGAUGGAAUAUGUCAAAAAAAAAAAAAAUGUAUGGCGAUUGUUUCUCAAAGUCUGGAGUCACUUCCCACAACUCCAGUUCAGUUGUGUUUCACUUUUGAGUUCACUUAAUUCGCAUUUACUCUUGGAGAACUAAGAUGUGUCUUGGUUACAAAUUUCCUUUAACAUUUAUAUUUAAAUUGAGUGAUGAUUUAACAACAGCUUUUAUAUAUCGAGGCAGUGUUCAAAGUGUUUGAUAAUAAUGUUAUGCAAAUCCAGUGUAUAUAUUUUAAAUUUAGUGACGGUGGUGACACUUGGAGAGCCAAGUAUUUACUGUAUUUUCUUAGAUUGUACCGUGUGUCAAAAGUUGGAGAAGCACCGCAAUAUCCGCCGCGUGCCUCCCACCCUCGCAGCAGACGUGCGACGUGCACAAAGUUGACAAGUCCGGUAAAAGAAAGCGCGUGAAAUCAACGAAACUUCA